GAAUGGGUACGAUCCUGACUCUGUUCUCUGAUUCGCCUCUGGGUGACCACGGCUGAAUCGGGACCUGUACCCCGCCAGCCUUCUCCCUCUGAAACAACAUUACAACAAUGUGACUUCUGUCCAGAGGGCAGCCACGGCUGAUGUCCUGAAACUUCAUAAAGUUACCCAUAUUGAGGUGAAGGAAACAAUCUGCCUGCGGCUGCAACAGAGCAAAACAAGAGUAAUGAGGAGAGGAAACAGAAACCAGCACCAAGGACCAGCUGAAAAUGAUCCAGGCCACUAAAAUUAUAUAUGAUACUAUAGUAGAUUGCUUAUUGUAUAAAUUAUAAUAUUAAUAAAUUUUUAGUAACUGUAAUAUGCUUUGACUUAUUUCUCCUUUUGUUUGUCAUCUCUGUUCUUACGUUAUUUAAUUUUGUAAUACAGUAGACCCCUGGUUAUCCGGUGUAAUGACUGGCAAGGGGUCAACGGAUGAUUGAAAAACACUGUUAAAGUGAUUUUUGGGGAAAUAUUUUAUCCCGACCUCAAGACAAACUCUGUAACACCCGUCCCUCAUAGUUACACCCCAAUUCGUUUUAGGAAAACAGUUUACUAAUAAAAAACUGAUUAAAGAAUCUCCAUUUAAAUUCUAAAUAAAAAUGUAACUGUCUGGCUUUUAUCAGCAGAGCUGCUGUUGACACGCAAAAUCUCAGAAUGUAAAAGUUGGCUAAACACUCAAUUGUUUUUAAAAUAGACAAUGAAGGAAGCGAAUAGGUAUUAAGGAAAGAGCAGAAUACUUUUUGUUGACAUUGUCACAUUUACUUCCGACAUUUACUCAUACUUAUAACUACUUUGAUAAAUUCCUUGUGAAAAGUUGUAUAAGAUUUAGGCUUAAGUUUAAUACAUUACCAAAUUACAUAAUACUAUUAAGUUAGGUUAUUGAAUUCUUACAAGAUGUUUUGCUAUAUUUGUGUUGCACACAUUUAAAUACA